rnacentral:rRNA from 1 species
CACUUAUAGGCUAGCUUACAACCCUAUAUAAACAUUUAUAUGUGUAAUAUUAACAUA